rnacentral:rRNA from 1 species
AAUUCGACGCAACGCGAAGAACCUUACCUGGACUUGACAUCGUGGGAAUCCCUAUGAAAGUAGGGAGUGCCUUCGGGAGCCCCAAGACAGGUGCUGCAUGGCUGUCGUCAGCUCGUGUCGUGAGAUGUUGGGUUAAGUCCCGCAACGAGCGCAACCCUUGUCUCUAGUUACCAUCAUUUGGUUGGGGACUCUAGAGAUACUGCCAAGGUUAACUUGGGGAAGGUGGGGAUGACGUCAAGUCCUCAUGGUCCUUAUGUCCAGGGCUACACACGUGCUACAAUGGUAGUUACAGAGGGGAGCGAAGCCGUAAGGUGGAGCGAAUCUCAGAAAAGCUGCCACAGUUCGGAUUGAGGUCUGCAACUCGGCCUCAUGAAGCUGGAAUCGCUAGUAAUCGCGUAACAGCAUGACGCGGUGAAUACGUUCCCGGGCCUU